rnacentral:rRNA from 1 species
GACAUUAGCUAGUUGGUAAGGUAACGGCUUACCAAGGCGACGAUGUCUAGGGGGUUUGAGAGGAUGAUCCCCCACACUGGUACUGAGACACGGACCAGACUCCUACGGGAGGCAGCAGUGAGGAAUAUUGGGCAAUGGGCGCAAGCCUGACCCAGCCAUGCCGCGUGCAGGAUGAAGGUCCUAUGGAUCGUAAACUGCUUUUGUAUGGGAAGAACUUCCCGCAUUCGUGCGGGAUUGACGGUACUAUACGAAUAAGGACCGGCUAACUCCGUGCCAGCAGCCGCGGUAAUACGGAGGGUCCAAGCGUUAUCCGGAUUCACUGGGUUUAAAGGGUGCGUAGGUGGAACGAUAAGUCGAUGGUGAAAGCCUACAGCUUAACUGUAGAAUUGCCAUUGAUACUGUUGUUCUUGAGUAUAGUCGGGGGAAGUGGAAUGCGUAAUGUAGCGGUGAAAUGCAUAGGUAUUACGCAGAACACCGAUCGCGAAAGCAGCUUCCUAGGCUAUUACUGACACUGAGGCACGAAAGCGUGGGGAGCGAACAGGAUUAGAUACCCUGGUAGUCCACGCCGUAAACGAUGCUCACUCGCUGUUGGCGAUAUAUUGUCAGCAGUUAAGCUAAAGCAUUAAGUGAGCCACCUGGGAAGUACGUCCGCAAGGAUGAAACUCAAAGGAAUUGACGGGGGCCCGCACAACCGGUGGAACAUGUGGUUCAAUUCGAUGAUACGCGAGGAACCUUACCUGGGCUUAAAUGUAGUUUGACUUCCGCCGAAAGGCGGUUUUCCUUCGGGACAAAUUACAAGGUGCUGCACGGCUGUCGUCAGCUCGUGCCGUGAGGUAUCGGGUUAAGUCCCUUAACGAGCGCAACCCCUAUUGUUAGUUACCAACAGGUUAAGCUGGGGACUCUAGCAAAACUGCCAGCGUAAGCUGGAGGAAGGUGGGGAUGACGUCAAGUCAGCAUGGCCCUUAUGUCCAGGGCUACACACGUGUUACAAUGGCCGAUACAAAGGGCAGCCACCACGCGAGUGGGAGCUAAUCCUUAAAAUCGGUCUCAGUUCGGAUCGAAGUCUGCAAUUCGACUUCGUGAAGGUGGAAUCGGUAGUAAU